rnacentral:snRNA from 1 species
CCCUAGCCCUGAUAGUAGUAAAAAUCCUUGUUGGCCGGCGUUCGGCUAGCAAGAUUGAAACGGAUAGCGGGAUUAAGC